UACGGGGGGAGCAAGCGUUGUUCGGAUUUACUGGGCGUAAAGGGCGCGUAGGCGGCCACCGCAAGUCAAUUGUGAAAUCCCUCAGCUUAACUGGGGAACUGCGUCUGAUACUGGAUGGCUUGAGUUUGGGAGAGGGAUGCGGAAUUCCAGGUGUAGCGGUGAAAUGCGUAGAUAUCUGGAGGAACACCGGUGGCGAAGGCGGCAUCCUGGACCAACACUGACACUGAUGAGCGAAAGCCAGGGGAGCAAACGGG
rnacentral:rRNA from 1 species